rnacentral:rRNA from 1 species
GACGAACGCCGGCGGCGUGUCUAAUACAUGCAAGUAGGACGCAGUUGCGAACGGGUGCGUCACGCGUCGGUAACCACCUAUUAGAGGGGGAUAACUCUUGGAAACGAUAGCUAUUACCGCAUCCUCGUAGAUGGACCUGCGUUGUAUUAGCUCGUAGGUAGGGUAAUCGACUACCUAGGCAACGAUCCAUAGCGGACCUGAGAGGGUGAUGUGACACACUGGUGCUGAGACACGGCCCAGACUCCUACGGGAGGCAGCAGUAGGGAAGCUUCGGCAAGUGGGGGAACCCUGACCGAGGAACGCCGCGGGAGUGAAGAGGGUUUUCGGAUCGUAAAGCUCUGUUGUUAAGGAAGCGGUACUGAACCAGAAAGGGACGGCUGACUACGGGCCAGCAGCCGCGGUAAUUC